rnacentral:tRNA from 1 species
GAUGUCUCUGGUGGAGGCGAUGACCGCCAGCGCUUGGUCGAUGUUCGAUUUGUAUUCCUGAAUCAGCGCCCGUUCCAUCCGGCGCUCAUCU